rnacentral:rRNA from 1 species
UACAGAGGGUGCGAGCGUUGUCCGGAAUCACUGGGCGUAAAGGGCGCGUAGGUGGCUGGGUAAGCGUGUGGUGAAAGUCCGGGGCUCAACCCCGGAUCUGCCGUGCGAACUGCUUAGCUUGAGCAAUGUAGAGGCGGGUGGAAUUUCGGGUGUAGCGGUGGAAUGCGUAGAUAUCCGAAAGAACACCGGUGGCGAAGGCGGCCCGCUGGGCAUUUGCUGACACUGAGGCGCGACAGCGUGGGGAGCAAACAGG